CCUACGGGAGGCAGCAGUGGGGAAUUUUGGACAAUGGGCGCAAGCCUGAUCCAGCAAUGCCGCGUGAGUGAAGAAGGCCUUCGGGUUGUAAAGCUCUUUUGUCAGGGAAGAAACGGUGGAGGCUAAUAUCCUUUGCUAAUGACGGUACCUGAAGAAUAAGCACCGGCUAACUACGUGCCAGCAGCCGCGGUAAUACGUAGGGUGCAAGCGUUAAUCGGAAUUACUGGGCGUAAAGCGUGCGCAGGCGGUUUUGUAAGUUUGUCGUGAAAUCCCCGGGCUCAACCUGGGAAUGGCGAUGAAGACUGCAAGGCUAGAAUCUGGCAGAGGGGGGUAGAAUUCCACGUGUAGCAGUGAAAUGCGUAGAGAUGUGGAGGAACACCGAUGGCGAAGGCAGCCCCCUGGGUCAAGAUUGACGCUCAUGCACGAAAGCGUGGGGAGCAAACAGGAUUAGAUACCCUGGUAGUCCACGCCCUAAACGAUGUCUACUAGUUGUCGGGUUUUAAUUAACUUGGUAACGCAGCUAACGCGUGAAGUAGACCGCCUGGGGAGUACGUCGCGAGAAUAAACGUUAAAGUAAGUAGACGCGNGAGACGNGCGACGACGACGACGAGGGAGGAG
rnacentral:rRNA from 1 species